GAGACCGAACACGGGCGCCCCACAGCGAGGGGCUGAGACCGCGCUACUGCUCGCGCGGGCACCGUCUGAACCUGUCUGGUUAGCACCAGCGAAGGAAGUUGAAGGAGUGUCAUG
rnacentral:ncRNA from 1 species